UACGUAGGGUCCGAGCGUUGUCCGGAAUUACUGGGCGUAAAGAGCUCGUAGGUGGUUUGUCGCGUUGUUCGUGAAAACUCACGGCUCAACCGCGGGCCUGCAGCCGAUACGGGCAGGCUAGAGUUCGGUAGGGGAGACUGGAAUUCCUGGUGUAGCGGUGAAAUGCGCAGAUAUCAGGAGGAACACCGAUGGCGAAGGCAGGUCUCUGGGCCGAUACUACGCUGAGGAGCGAAAGCGUGGGGAGCGAACAGG
rnacentral:rRNA from 1 species